UUUUGAAAUCUCAAAAAAAUGCGGGAAAUAACGUCUGGAAAAAUUAUGUCUUCUUAUUGGAAUGUCGAAAUCAAAAAAGAGAGUCGUCUGCUACCAAGAAUAACAAAACUGUCGUGAACUCUGGAAAUCAAAGUAAACCAUCAACAUACGCUGGUAAGACAUCAACGACAAGCCUCAACCAAGGACAAUCAAGAAAAUCCAGUUUCCCAUUACCAAAUACGAGACAAAGCCCUAGCCAAAGUUAUGUUUAUAAUAAGGGAUCAAGACAAAAU